rnacentral:tRNA from 1 species
GGGGGAAUAUGUAUUUUGUCGGACUCGAAAUCCGAUAUACAGUUAUGCUGUAUCGAGGGUUCGAAUCCCUCUCUCUCCUCCA